rnacentral:lncRNA from 1 species
ACCCCCAACAGCCGUGCUGGCCGCUGAUGCGAGAAGCACAUGCUACGGCGAUAGCAGCACCGCCAAAGUCGUCGCUGCCCACGGCCGGAACUCCCUUGUCCGCUAGCUCAACCACCAACUAGGACCCCCAUCGACCAUCCCAUGCGUCGCCACGUCGCCUGCAACACCAGUGGUGGUCGGCCGCCGAGCUUAUCCAUUGCCGCCAUGGAACCAACCCCGACGCGCUAUAAAUAGGACCCUUAGCAAAACUUCUCCGAACCCUCUCAAGCCCCCUAGCAGUCAAUCGACUGGGGAAGGCCAUCUUCCUCACCUCCGGUCAAAGUCUGGCCUCCGCCUUCCUGGUUGAAAUUCGAGGCCAGAAGGGUUGGUCCUGCGCCAUUCUCCCCUUUGGUUGAACCACUCCGACCCCGCAAAGCCAUUCCCCCACCGUAGGCCCCCAUUACUCCCGCAACCGCCGUCCCCCUUAGAGCUCACCGCCGGCGACCCUCUCCGUCUCCAUAGCCCUUUCGACCUCCACGAGUACCGGUAGCUUGCGGGGAACCCAUUGCCACCCUCGGAAGAAACCCAAGAGUCACCAAUCACUGGCGACGAUCGCCGGAGCCCCGCCUCCGCUCGGCUAGAGGAGGAAGAAGGCAUAGGCGACUAGUCAAAUGUGACCAGUAUGCCAGACGGGCCCACUGUUAGUGACUCGCGAGUCACGCGUGUGCUGGAUAAGUGGACGCGCCUUCCGUGAAAUACGUUUUCUCCUCGCACUUGCGUAUUUCCUUCCGAAGUGUUUUCCAUUUUCUGGUUUAUUUUAAAAUAGAGCUUUGACCAAUCUUUGACUGGCCCUAAUUUAUAGAAUCAAGAUCCAAAUGACUAUAGCAUGCUUGUUAUUAUUUCUUAUAAGCUCAGAUGCCCGAUUGUGGCAUGCAUGUUAUUAAUUCUUAUAAUCCCUUUAUGUGGCGUCGCUCAGACGCCCGAUUGUCGCAUGCAUGUUAUUAUUUCUUAUAAGCCCUUUAUGUGGUGUCGCUCAGACAACCGAUUGAACUAUGUCGGGGGAUAAUCCCGGGGUAGGCCCAGCGAGCCUGCUCCUUUAC